rnacentral:rRNA from 1 species
AUUGAACGCUGGCGGCAGGCCUAACACAUGCAAGUCGAGCGGAUGAGGGAAGCUUGCUUCCCGAUUUAGCGGCGGACGGGUGAGUAAUGCCUAGGAAUCUGCCUGGUAGUGGGGGACAACGUUUCGAAAGGAACGCUAAUACCGCAUACGUCCUACGGGAGAAAGCAGGGGACCUUCGGGCCUUGCGCUAUCAGAUGAGCCUAGGUCGGAUUAGCUAGUAGGUGGGGUAAAGGCUCACCUAGGCGACGAUCCGUAACUGGUCUGAGAGGAUGAUCAGUCACACUGGAACUGAGACACGGUCCAGACUCCUACGGGGGGCAGCAGUGGGGAAUAUUGGACAAUGGGCGAAAGCCUGAUCCAGCCAUGCCGCGUGUGUGAAGAAGGUCUUCGGAUUGUAAAGCACUUUAAGUUGGGAGGAAGGGCAGUAAGCUAAUACCUUGCUGUUUUGACGUUACCAACAGAAUAAGCACCGGCUAACUUCGUGCCAGCCGCCGCCGUAACAC